AUCUGUAGUGCGAGUCUUUGCACGUUAACUGUAAAGGCGUAGAGAAAGCAACUGGCGUUUGCAUGGCUACUGAGCAUUACUGAUAGGACCCGAAAGGUGGUGAACUUUGCCUGCACAGGUUGAAGUCAGGGGAAACUCUGAUGGAGGACGUACGGGUUAUUGAUGUGCAAAUCAUUUUUCUGAUGUAGGUAAAGGUGCGAAAGACUCAUCGAACCACCUAAUAGCUGGUUUCCUCCGAAGUUUCCCUCAGGAUAGCUGUAAUGCAUUUAGUUAAGGGGAGUAGAGAUAUGGGUAGAGGUGCAGGGAGCCUUCGGGUUCUCAACUUAUUUCCAAACUUCGAACCUCCUUGUUAGGCAUUUACCUAACUGGAAAUGCUUAAAUGAAUUAGCGUUACAAGUGGGCUCUGACCGGUAAGCGGUCAUGGCGAAAUGGGAUGAACCAUACGUCUGAAUAAGGUGCCGAAAUGUACUAUCACUGAUACCAUAAAGGGAGUCCAUGUAUUUAGACAGCAGGUCGGUGCCCCUAAAAGCAGGUAUCCGCUAAAGAGUGUGUUAAAACUCACCUGCCGAAUACUAGGGCCCCGAAAAUGAAUGGCGCAUAUAGUACUACCGAUCUCAGACAUCAGUUCUAUUGAACUGAGAGUAGGGGGAUGUGGACAUUUUUGUGAAGGUGCAAUGUGAGUUGGACUGGAAGAAUGUCUAUUACAGAUCCUAAUUGAAGUAGCGAUUAUCCAGGCUUGUAUCCUGGGGGCUGAUGAGGAGUAGGGUUUCUGGACAACUUAAACAGAUCCAGAGUUAGUCGAUCCUAAUCUCAAUAAUGGGAGAAAGGGAGUACAGUUGAUAUUCUGUAACUGACAACAGUUCGCGGCAACGCAUACUAUUUUUCUCCGCCAAUCUUAUACCGUUGGUAGGGAUCUCUUUCCUACAUGACAGUACUAAUACCCAGGGAAACUGGUCAUCAGGCGAA
rnacentral:ncRNA from 2 species